AUACGGAAGGUCCGGGCGUUAUCCGGAUUUAUUGGGUUUAAAGGGAGCGCAGGCGGAGAUGCAAGCGUGACGUCAAAUUUCGGGGCUCAACCCCGUCUCGCGUCGCGAGCUGCGUCCCUUGGUUGCGGGAAGGGGAGGCGGAACUCGUGGUGUAGCGGUGAAAUGCAUAGAUAUCACGAAGAACUCCGAUCGCGAAGGCAGCCUCCCGGCCCGUCAACGACGCUCAUGCUCGAAGGUGCUGGUAUCAAACAGGAUUAGAUACCCUGGUAGUCCGCACAGUAAACGAUGGACACCCGCGGUUUGGCCUGUAUGGCUGAGCCGCCAAGCGAAAGCGUUAAGUGUCCCACCUGGGGAGUACGCCGGCAACGGUGAAACUCAAAUGAAUUGACGGGG
rnacentral:rRNA from 1 species